GAUGAACGCUGGCGGCGUGCUUAACACAUGCAAGUCGAGCGAGAGAGUUCUUCGGAACAAUCUAGCGGCGGACGGGUGAGUAACACGUGGGCAACCUGCCUCAUAGAGGGGAAUAGCCUCCCGAAAGGGAGAUUAAUACCGCAUAACAUCAUUGGAGGGCAUCUUCCGAUGGUCAAAGGAGCAAUCCGCUAUGAGAUGGGCCCGCGGCGCAUUAGCUAGUUGGUGAGGUAACGGCUCACCAAGGCGACGAUGCGUAGCCGACCUGAGAGGGUGAUCGGCCACAUUGGGACUGAGACACGGCCCAGACUCCUACGGGAGGCAGCAGUGGGGAAUAUUGCACAAUGGGGGAAACCCUGAUGCAGCAACGCCGCGUGAGUGAUGACGGCCUUCGGGUUGUAAAGCUCUGUCUUUGGGGACGAUAAUGACGGUACCCAAGGAGGAAGUCACGGCUAACUACGUGCCAGCAGCCGCCGUAAUAC
rnacentral:rRNA from 1 species